rnacentral:rRNA from 1 species
AGACAGCAGCCGCCGCGGUAAUACGGAGGGUGCAAGCGUUAAUCGGAAUUACUGGGCGUAAAGCGCACGCAGGCGGUUUGUUAAGUCAGAUGUGAAAUCCCCGAGCUUAACUUGGGAACUGCAUUUGAAACUGGCAAGCUAGAGUCUUGUAGAGGGGGGUAGAAUUCCAGGUGUAGCGGUGAAAUGCGUAGAGAUCUGGAGGAAUACCGGUGGCGAAGGCGGCCCCCUGGACAAAGACUGACGCUCAGGUGCGAAAGCGUGGGGAGCAAACAGGAUUAGAUACCCGCGUAGUCCCUGUCUCUUAUAC